UACGUAGGGGGCAAGCGUUGUCCGGAUUUAUUGGGCGUAAAGAGCGUGUAGGCGGUUUGGUAGGUCCGUUGUGAAAACUCGAGGCUCAACCUCGAGACGCCGAUGGAAACCAUCAGACUAGAGUCCGGAAGAGGAGAGUGGAAUUCCUGGUGUAGCGGUGAAUGCGCAGACUAUCAGGAAGAACACCCGUGGCUAAGGCGGCUCUCUAGUACGGUACUGACGCUGAGACGCGAAAGCGUGGGGAGCGAACAGG
rnacentral:rRNA from 1 species